AGAACAGCUAAAAGAUGUGCAUGUAGUUCCGGCUUAAUUAAGCGAGUUUGGUGUUAUGACAAGCUGGUUGGAGUACUCGUAUUUGAUGAACAUCCUCAUUUUAAAAUUUUAAUGAUUGGAAGAGUGAAAUAUUGAGUAGAUGGCAUCAUGGCUAUGCAUAUGCUCUCUUCCCAUACUUAAAAUUAAUGGCCUGUAUUGCAUGUCACACUACCGCUGUUGG
rnacentral:pre_miRNA from 1 species